AGGGUAAAAAGGAGGGACGUGCAUGGGGAUGCGUGCCCCCUUUCUUUUGCAUCGCAUCUUGGAGAAAAAAUAGGAGAGGGGCGCAAGUUCAUGAGUUGGCACCCCCUCCUGAUAAUCUUUAUGUCCUCAUCAGAUGGUGUUGUAUUGGUUCAAGUUUGAAAUUGAGCUCUUAUCAGAUAAGAGUUCAAAUUCAAUAGAACUUUAUUCUUUCUCUCUUGGCAGC
rnacentral:lncRNA from 1 species